rfam:Schizosaccharomyces cryophilus OY26 unplaced genomic scaffold supercont4.8, whole genome shotgun sequence.
GCUUCUGUAGCUCAGUUGGUGGUAGCGUCCCUCUCAUAUGUUGAAAGGGGAAGGUCGUGAGUUCGAGCCUCACCAGAAGCA